rnacentral:rRNA from 1 species
UGCAAGUCGAGGGGCAGCAUUUUAGUUUGCUUGCAAACUAAAGAUGGCGACCGGCGCACGGGUGAGUAACACGUAUCCAACCUGCCGAUAACUCGGGGAUAGCCUUUCGAAAGAAAGAUUAAUAUCCGAUAGUAUAUUUUCUCCGCAUGGCGAGAAUAUUAAAGAAUUUCGGUUAUCGAUGGGGAUGCGUUCCAUUAGUUUGUUGGCGGGGUAACGGCCCACCAAGCCUUCGAUGGAUAGGGGUUCUGAGAGGAAGGUCCCCACAUUGGAACUGAGACACGGUCCAAACUCC